rnacentral:rRNA from 1 species
UACAGGGGGUGCAAACGUUGCUCGGAAUCAUUGGGCGUAAAGCGCACGUAGGCGGUUCGUUAUGUCGGAUGUGAAAGCCCUUGGCUUAACCGAGGAAGUGCAUCCGAAACUGGCGAGCUAGAGUACUAAAGAGGAUCGCGGAAUUCCCGGUGUAGAGGUGAAAUUCGUAGAUAUCGGGAGGAACACCAGUGGCGAAGGCGGCGACCUGGGCCAAUACUGACACUGAGGUGCGAAAGCGUGGGGAGCAAACAGG